AUUUAUAACCGGCUUGCUGGCCAUGCCAAGAGGUGAGCAGUUAGAUCAACCAGAGAGCGCAGGGUCAUUUGAUUCUUCUGGAAGCCACAGCUGUUACUAGAGUUGACAGAGGAUGCCGGGGCCCAAACCCUCAGCUGUCACACUUGGUCCUAAGCAUGUUCCACAGAACCACCAGCUUGUUCACAACUCUGCUACCUAGAAAAGCUGGGCCAGCUAAGUCACGGCCAGCGCUCCCUCAGAACCGACUCAGGCGGGGUGGGCUCAGAGCCAGGUGCUGCUGUUAGGCAUGCUGACACAGAAGCCUGGUAGCCCAGAGUCCAUGGAAGUCUCCCUUUCCCCCAGUCAUCCCUGGCACACUGUCCCAGGCAGAUGACUGAACUCUCGGGGGCCCGAGGAAGGAGCCUGAACAUCUCAUGGAGAAUUCCAGGUCAGCAUCCCUCCCCUUUGACCUCACCCAAAGAAAAGAAAAGAAGAAAAAAAUGUCUAACCCACCCACCCCUGAGAAAAAGAAACAGUCUAGACAGAGAGCCAUUGAAGAGAACUCUUACACAUUGUGACAGGGAUCCCAAAGUGCAGCUCUUCACAGUUGAUGGCUUCUGGCAGGGGUGAGGGUGAGGAAGGACUCAGUUUUCUUUAAGGGGGUGGCCCCUGGGAGUUUGACCAUGCUCCCGUGAGGCUCGAGGAUAUUAAGGCAGCAAAACAGCCUUUAAGACCAGGAAACAACGCCUUAACAACAGAGCCACGCUCAGCCCAGCCUGUCCACUGACUACGGGGUCCUGUGUUCUCCCCGUACUUGCACGGUUUAGAUGAUUCUCCACUCCCUUCCCUUCCGACGCAGUCCUAUUCAACAACGCGUGGAGGAUCUGACCACAGCUUUGCUUCCUAGUGGGCUCCAUAAACCGGACUAAGUCCGCAGCCUACCAAGGCCUUCUGCCUGGGUGAAGCGCGACACCAAGUGGACAAGGGCGCCACCUACAGAUGGUUCCGGAAAGUGCCAUAGCGGCCUUCAAACCGGGCGGCAACCUCUCCGUGGGGUGUGGCGGCCGCUGGGCGCCCGCCUGAAGUUCCCAUCCGCAUCCCCAACCUGAGCUGGUCCCCGCAGGGCGCCCAGAGGUACACGCUGUGCCAAACUCGCCCGCAGCAGCAAGCCAACGGAAUCGCGUGGGGAAAAUGGAAAAAAAAACAGGCCUGCACGCCUCCGCGGGGAGUUGAUGAUCAGCAAAGCAACCAAAAUCUUCGAAGUCACCCGCAACCCCACUCAGACUGGCAGUCUAAAAAAGAACAUUGUGAAGGGCAGGGCGUUAUUUAUUCCCACUUUUCCUGGAACAUGAAAAAAAUAACUUCAAAUAAAAAUGACCCAAAU